GCACAACUCUCGGUAACAGAUAUCUUGGCCCUUGCCAUAAUGAAGAACAUAGCAAAAUACGAUACUUAGUGUGAAUUGCGAAAUCCCAUGAGUCAUCCAGUCUUUGAAUACAAGUUGUGCCUGAGGCUUUAAAUGAGGGCACAUCUGCCUUGGUGUCACAC
rnacentral:rRNA from 1 species